UGGGGAAUAUUGGACAAUGGGCGCAAGCCUGAUCCAGCCAUACCGCGUGGGUGAAGAAGGCCUUCGGGUUGUAAAGCCCUUUUGUUGGGAAAGAAAAGCAGUCGAUUAAUACUCGGUUGUUCUGACGGUACCCAAAGAAUAAGCACCGGCUAACUUCGUGCCAGCAGCCGCGGUAAUACGAAGGGUGCAAGCGUUACUCGGAAUUACUGGGCGUAAAGCGUGCGUAGGUGGUUGUUUAAGUCUGUUGUGAAAGCCCUGGGCUCAACCUGGGAAUUGCAGUGGAUACUGGGCGACUAGAGUGUGGUAGAGGGUAGUGGAAUUCCCGGUGUAGCAGUGAAAUGCGUAGAGAUCGGGAGGAACAUCCAUGGCGAAGGCAGCUACCUGGACCAACACUGACACUGAGGCACGAAAGCGUGGGGAGCAAACA
rnacentral:rRNA from 1 species